AAAAGAAUUUUGCAGCCUUUGGCUGUUAAUUCUUGUGAACUGGGUUCUUUUGAACCGUCUUUUUAUGUUUGUCUUGUUGUUUUUGUGGUUUUUAAUUACAAA
rnacentral:misc_RNA from 1 species